rnacentral:rRNA from 1 species
GUGGGGAAUCUUAGACAAUGGGGGCAACCCUGAUCUAGCCAUGCCGCGUGAGUGAUGAAGGCCUUAGGGUCGUAAAGCUCUUUCGCUGGGGAAGAUAAUGACGGUACCCAGUAAAGAAACCCCGGCUAACUCCGUGCCAGCAGCCGCGGUAAUACGGAGGGGGUUAGCGUUGUUCGGAAUUACUGGGCGUAAAGCGCGCGUAGGCGGAUUGGAAAGUUGGGGGUGAAAUCCCGGGGCUCAACCCUGGAAUGGCCUUCAAAACUCCCAGUCUUGAGGUCGAGAGAGGUGAGUGGGAUUCCGAGUGUAGAGGUGAAAUUCGUAGAUAUUCGGAGGAACACCAGUGGCGAAGGCGGCUCACUGGCUCGAUACUGACGCUGAGGUGCGAAAGCGUGGGGAGCAAACAGGAUUAGAUCCCCGGGUAGUCC